rnacentral:rRNA from 1 species
UACGUAGGGGGCUAGCGUUGUCCGGAAUCAUUGGGCGUAAAGCGCGUGUAGGCGGUUCGGUAAGUCCGCUGUGAAAGUCGGGGGCUCAACCCUCGGAUGCCGGUGGAUACUGUCGGACUAGAGUACGGAAGAGGCGAGUGGAAUUCCUGGUGUAGCGGUGAAAUGCGCAGAUAUCAGGAGGAACACCGAUGGCGAAGGCAGCUCGCUGGGACGGUACUGACGCUGAGACGCGAAAGCGUGGGGAGCAAACAGG